rnacentral:rRNA from 1 species
UGGGGAAUCUUGGACAAUGGGGGCAACCCUGAUCCAGCCAUUCCGCGUGAGUGAAGAAGGUCUUCGGGUUGUAAAGCUCUUUUGUUGGGGACGAAACGGUUACGGUUAAUACCCGUGACAACUGACGGUACCUGAAGAAAAAGCACCGGCUAACUACGUGCCAGCAGCCGCGGUAAUACGUAGGGUGCGAGCGUUAAUCGGAAGUACUGGGCGUAAAGCGUGCGCAGGCGGUUUUGUAAGCCAGAUGUGAAAUCCCCGGGCUUAACCUGGGAGUGACAUUUGGGACUGCAAGGAUAGAGUAUGGCAGAGGAGACUGGAAUUUCUGGUGUAGCAGUGAAAUGCGUAGAUAACAGAAGGAAUACCGGUGGCGAAGGCAGGUCUCUGGGUGAAUACUGACGCUCAUGCGCGAAAGCGUGGGGAGCAAACAGG